CAGAAUUCAGUUACUUGCCUAUAUGUUUUAUCAGGUCUAUGGAGUUCUCUCUCACAGGAAGGACAGAGACAGGAUGGUGCACAUUUUACUACAGUGACAAGGCAGAGAGAAGUUGUCAGGAGCAAUGCUACAUAAUUUUAGGGAAAAAUCAUUUGGUUAGCCUAGUUCUCCUGCCUACAGCCCAGCUAUGGAAUUCCGAGACAUAACUCCAUUUUGGCCUCCGGUCACAACUGAGACCUCAAUGAUCCGGUGAUGCUGUGAUUCUCCAGGACAAGAUUAUACCAGCUGAAGACAUCCUGGGAGGAACAAACAUCCACUCGGUUCCUCAUUGUUCUUGGAUUGUUGCAUCUUGUUUACGCGGGUGUACUGAACUCUCUGUCCCGAGUCAUUUCUACGCUGGGGGCUUUCGUCUUUGCCGCCCAAAGCAGCACUGUUCAGACCCAGAGCUUAGCUUCUUCUCAGUCUCAUUUUUCUACCUUUCCUGUAAUUCGCCUUGUGCUGCCGUGGCUCACAGGAGACUAGGACUCACUGCAGAGGUUCUAGUAACGUCCCCUUUCCCUGUUCCCUACAAGAAGUGAAAUGACCAGAUGCUGUAAACUGCUAGGCUGAAAACAGCAUCCUUUCUUACCAGUGGGAUGGGGGAAAUGAUUCUGGGUGGAGAAGAGGAAAUGCUACAAGCUAAGCGACGGCUUCAGUGAGAUGAUUCCAAAAUGAAUCCUAUUGGUGGUGGGAAAAGAGCACCCCCUAAACACCUUUACACUGAUGCCAGAUCCUCUUCUGGAUGACUAUUCUGCUUCACCAGAGUCCGGCUUUCUCAAGUUGGGCGGCUAACCUCUGGCGAAGAGUCACCGACUUCGGAAUCGCGAUUGCACCGCUCGGGGCAGGCAGUUGCCAUCAGCGAAGUCCCCAAAGUCUUUUGCCAACAGGCGGCUGACGUCGGCGCGCCCCUGCCGAGCUCUCCUUUUACUACAGGCGGCAGGCGGCUUUGCGGAGCCCCGCCCCCUCGCCUGCCCACACCUCGUAGUUUAUAUAGAAGGCGCCGCGGUGCUGAUUCGCGGCUCCCCGGGACGCGAGAGUUCUUCGGACGGAGAGCGCGAGCGAGGGAGCGGGCGAGCUCCGAGGAGGUGAGGGUGUAGGGUGCAGGUAAGGCUCACGGGUUCCUGCUCUUCCGCCCGCGAGCAACUCGGGGCCCCCUUUUUGGCAAAAUAAUGGGAACCUGAAAAUGGAUUAAACAGAGCCAAAGAAAGAGGCGACCCUCCCCUUCCCAUUGCCCGC
rnacentral:lncRNA from 1 species